UUUCUCAUAUACAUUGCAUCAUUGCUGGUAGAAGACUGGUCUUGAUCACCCAAGUGGAUUUUUCCAGUCCUGCGUUUGUAUGCAUGUCUCUACAAUUUAGAGUGGAAAAACUUGACUUGAAAAAAGCCAUGACAAAGCAAAUACAUUUGGCAAACAAAGAACUCUAACAUCACCUGACUGCAAUAAACUGCAAGUUUUACUGCAGAAGUACUGAAUUCCGUCGUUCAUAACUUCCCGGCUUCAAUGUGGACAAAUUAACAAGUGAAAAUACGGCAGUGAAUGAGGACUGAACUCCUGGGACUGAACCCAGCUCCCACUUGGUGCUAUUAGGAGUCUCACAAGUUGGACACUCAUUUGUAUUUUGAGUGAAGAAAGGAUGGAGGUGGACUAGAAGUGACAGUGUUAUCCUGGCCUGGCAAAUCUGAGUCACCUUGUCAAACUCCAUUCCUCAUCACAGGCUGAAGCUCAUGGAAGGUGGACUCUGCACUACGGGCGCCUUGCAAGAUUUACUCAAACUGAAAAACACUUGAGAUAAAAACAGAUGUGGAGCAGAAGUUGCAGUUUGCAAAUAAUGCUCACCCCACUGUGUGUGACUCUGCACAACACAAGCCCAGACAAAUUCUAGAGUUAGCAGCAAUAUGCAAGAAUUGCAAUAAAUUGCAUCACUUUCAUAAAAGUUUGCCAGCAGUUAUUGACCAUGCAGUAAGACAGCUACAGUGGCAGAAGUACAGAAUCAUUUUGAGAUGAGACAGACAAUGUUAUACCAGAACACAACCCUUUUGUCAGGCAGUGUGUGUUUGAUGAAGGAAAAGUUACCACUCGGAUAUAAAGUAACAGCUUACAAAGAAAAUAGAAAUAUGAUUUAAAAGGGAGUGCGUUAGCCGGGUUUGCUUUUUUAAUGUUUGUUUUUUUUCUGUCUGUGUUUGUUUGGGGUGCAUUUGUUUUCUUGUUUAUUUGGUUUUUGUUUCAUUGUUUUUAUGGAUCUUGCCUGUAGGAAUGGUUCUAGGUAAUUCCUAGAAGAGGAGCUAGAAAGACUUAUCACUCUGAUUCUCACAGGAAAUGUGCUUUUCUUAUCGUUAACACCAUAAGACAUGGUACUUUGCUCAUGGCUCCUUUUAAUCAGUUGGAAUAUUAUUUUCUUUUUCUCUUCCUCCCACCCACUACAGUAUAAGAAUUAUAACCAAAGCUUUUUAUGUUAAUAGUCAAUGCUUUAAAUAUUUCUGGAAUGAUCUCUAGUUGCCUCUGAAUGCAUCAGAAAGUAGCUUUUUUGCCAGUGGCGGCACUAGUCUACCUGUCUUUCUGCUACCUGAACAGUUACCUUUGUGAAAACCUGUAUGAAUUUACUGGUUUCAACAUCUCCAGUUCUUUCUUUCUUUCUUUCUUUCUUUCUUUCUUUCUUUCUUUCUUUCUUUGGGAGUUUCAGGCUUUGUUUACGGCAUUUUUGGAAUGUAGAAUUAAAAAUAAGAAAAUAUGACAGCACAUACCUUCUUUGGUUGACACCUUUCUGUAGACUGAUCCCAAGCACAUUUGACAUGGAGGCUUUUUAAUUUUUUUUUAAUUAUUAUUUAUUACACACAUUCUGGCCUAUACACUUGGAAGUUUUCAGUUGUAUAAAGUGGUAGAAAGUGCGGCAAAACUGCAGGGCUACAACUCCAACAGAUAAAAAGCAAUAAUGUAAGUGACCUGAAGAUAAGAAAGUGCCUGCUGCAAUGCCUCCCUUAUCCUCUAAAAGCAAGUAACUUGUCCUAGAGAUAGCGAAGGCAACUUAAGGAAAAUAUUGCCUAAUGCGGCAACUCGAUUUAGCAGACUCUGCUGCAAGUCAGGGAGGACAUUGCUCCUGGGAAAAGAUCUUUCCUCGGUAGCAUUAUAUAGCACAGAAACAGGGUGUGAGGCAUUGGACAUGUCGAUAAAAUACGAUGGACAGACACUCUGUACAAAUACUCGAAAGGAGGUUUAAGUUAGGUGGCGUUCAGCCUCUUCUCCCGGGCGCUACGGACAGAACGACAGUCUUAAGUUUAAGUCUUAAACUGUGUCAGGGGCGGUUUAGGUUGGGCCAUUACGGGAGUUUAUUCAUAGAAAGGGUCAGCAGACAUUGGAAUGGACUGCCUGGGGAGGUGGUGGAGGGAGGUACGUAGGGAAAGACUGGACAUGUCAAUUAAUGUCACGGU